rnacentral:rRNA from 1 species
AUUGAACGCUGGCGGCAGGCCUAACACUUGCAAGUUGAGUGGCAGCGGGACCUUCGGGUUGCCGGCGAGCGGCGGACGGGUGAGUAAUGCCUAGGAAUCUGCCUGGUAGUGGGGGACAACGUUUCGAAAGGAACGCUAAUACCGCAUACGUCCUACGGGAGAAAGUGGGGGAUCUUCGGACCUCACGCUAUCAGAUGAGCCUAGGUCGGAUUAGCUAGUUGGUGAGGUAAAGGCUCACCAAGGCGACGAUCCGUAACUGGUCUGAGAGGAUGAUCAGUCACACUGGAACUGAGACACGGUCCAGACUCCUACGGGAGGCAGCAGUGGGGAAUAUUGGACAAUGGGCGAAAGCCUGAUCCAGCCAUGCCGCGUGUGUGAAGAAGGUCUUCGGAUUGUAAAGCACUUUAAGUUGGGAGGAAGGGCUGUAGGCUAAUAUCCUGCAGUUUUGACGUUACCGACAGAAUAAGCACCGGCUAACUUCGUGCCAGCCGCCGCAGUAA